rnacentral:lncRNA from 1 species
GGGAUUGAUUGAAACCAAUUUUGAGAUAAGAUCUCACUAAGUUGCUUAAGGUCUUGCUAAGUUGGAGGCUAGCCUCAAACUUGUGAUCCUUCUGCAUCAUGUAUUGCCAUGCCAGGCCCCAUUACAAGAUUCUAAAUCAUAUCUACGUAGUCCCUUUUACUGUGUAUGGUGAUGUACUCCCAGUGGACACAUUGGAGGGUCAUUAUACUGUCUGCCACACCAAACUCUAUUGGAAACCAAUUAGGGGUCCUUACUUACUGCCCACCUGGAAAGAUUAUACUCUUAUGCCUUGACCAGGCCUGUGUAGUUUAUACAUGCCGCCUUUAACUAGGCUGUGGUCCCCUCCUACCUGGUCUAGGGUCCCCUUCCCCAUCAUCUUUGAGACACAAUAUGAC